rnacentral:rRNA from 1 species
GAUGAACGCUGGCGGCGUGCCUAAUACAUGCAAGUCGAGCGAACAGACGAGGAGCUUGCUCCUCUGACGUUAGCGGCGGACGGGUGAGUAACACGUGGAUAACCUACCUAUAAGACUGGGAUAACUUCGGGAAACCGGAGCUAAUACCGGAUAAUAUAUUGAACCGCAUGGUUCAAUAGUGAAAGACGGUUUUGCUGUCUCUUAUAGAUGGAUCCGCGCGGCAUUAGCUAGUUGGUAAGGUAACGGCUUACCAAGGCAACGAUGCGUAGCCGACCUGAGAGGGGGAUCGGCCACACUAGAACUGAGACAGCGUCAAUACUCCUACGGGAGGCAGCAGUAGGGAAUCUUCCGCAAUGGUCGAAAGCCUGACGGAGCAACGCCGCGUGAGUGAUGAAGGUCUUCGGAUCGUAAAACUCUGUUAUUAGGGAAGAACAAAUGUGUAAGUAACUGUGCACAUCUUGACGGUACCUAAUCAGAAAGCCACGGCUAACUACGUG